CCUUUAAAUUUGUAUUUUUAUCGAAUCAUCUCAAAAUGAACAAAAAAAAAUAUUAAUUUUUUUAACUUUAAUAGCCCGUCAACAUUCAAUUAAUUUUUUAAAAUUUAAAAAUUAUAAAAACUCAUUAUUUUAAAUUUAAAAUCAUUAAAAUUAUUUAAAAAUAUAAAAUUAUUUUUAAAUUAAAAAAUAAUUAAAUGCUACGUGAAAAUCCACGUGUAUGAUAUGUGAUACCCAAUUGUUGCCCGGGGCCCAAAACCAUUUGCACAGCCCAAUAAACCAAAUACAUUUGGCCCAAAUGGCCCAAAGUUAACCCUAGCCCACAACAUGUUUUCAACAGCAAUGGAAGCAUAAACUGCAGAUCGCGCCGCUCGCACGUUCUCCAUCUGCAGCAACGGCCCCAUCACCCCACGUUCAGCGAUUCCUCGCAUCCACCAUGCAUGUUCAUCCUACAAAUGAACCAAGAACAGUAUUAUAGAGGAUAUACAGCAAAAAAGGGGGGAGGGUUAUAAAAAGCAAGAGGAUUUCUGUAACAAGGGUUAGAAAAAUUUUGUAUUGAAAACCAUUUAAGAAAAUAAAAAAGGAAAAAACAGAAAAGCAAGGAUUUUGAAGGUGAUUUUCUGGGUCUAUUUUUCUUCUUGCUCAUUGAUUUCUUUUUUUUUUUCCUUUGUACACCAAACAAAAAUAAAAGAAAGAGGAGAAAUCCUUACCAAAAGAGGCGCGCCGUCGACAUCUUUAAUUCUCUUCGUCUAAAUCGAAGUUGGAAGGGGGGAGUUCGGCUUGAAAAACAGAGGAGAGGAUGGAGCAGUUCUUGAGGCUGCUGUUACCGCAAAAGGGAAUAGGGUUUUAACUAGAGUUUGAAAUGGAUUUUAACUUUUAAACAUUGAUGGGUUAUUUGUGUUUUUAAUCCUUCCAUUUUAUCCUAUCAUUUCAAAACCUUUUC
rnacentral:lncRNA from 1 species